GUCUGUGUAUACUUGCUAUAAAUGAAGAAUUGGAUAUUGAAAUUUAAAAGUUAUGUAGGAGUACAAAGGACCUAGAAAAGUUAAAAACAAAAACAAAAACAAAACCGGUGUUGGACUGUCUCGUCUUUAUCUGAAAAUUAUUUUACUCUUGUUCUUGAAAGAUAAUUAGCUGACACCAUUUUCUCUCAAUAUUUUGACGAUGUUACACCAUUCUCUGUUGGCUUCCAUUUUUGUUCUACUGAAAUCAAUCUAAUUUUUGUCCCCUCUUAGGCAACAGGUAUUUUCUUUGGGGCUGCGUUUAGACAGACUCUCUCUGCCUCCGGUCUUCUGUCCUGGGCAGCAAACACUAGCACGGCUCACCCUAGACUCCGCCCUUCCGGCGCAGGCCUUGGGAAACGCAGCCUGUGGCUCUCCCGCAGGGAGUUCCCCCAGCAGAGCUUGGCAGGUGACCAACAAUUCUAUUGUGCAGGGACUCGGGGUUGCUCUCCAUCCAGGACACAGGACUUUCAGGCCGAGACUGGGACCGUCCGGGGCCGGCGGGGACAGUGGGUCCCCCUGCCGGCUCCCCCGCCCAGUGCCCGUGUUCCUCCGGGCAGGCUGCUUACGCCCAACCCAGCUCCGCCUGACGCACGAUGACCUGCAGGGGACACUGCUGCCCAACUCCGCACACCACCAUCCUUCUUUCAUGGCCACGCAACCACAGGCGGUGUUGCUUGUUAAUGACUUAGGUUUCCUUUUUGAAAAUUUCAUUGUUUUUGAGUUAAAUUUCUUCUGAAAAUUCUCAAACUGUUUCAACUGAACUGUGGAGAGAUUUUUGUUUUGUGUUGCUUUGAGACAGGGUCUUGCUCUGUAGAUAAGGCUGGCUUUUUUUUUUUUUGGUACCGGGGAUUGAACUUGGGAACCUUGCGCUUGCGAGGCAGGCGCCGGAACCACUGAGCUAAAUCCCUGGCCCCUAAGGAAAAGACUUUUUUUUUGGUACCAGGGAUCGAACUCGGGACCUUGCACUUGUGAGGCAGAAAAAAGAUAAAAGUGGUAGGUAGCCAGGCGUGGUGGCCCACUCAUCAUCCCAGCACUCGGGAGGCUGAGGCAGGAGGAUCAUUGUGAGUUCGAGGCCAGCAUGGGCUACAUAGUGAGUUCAGGGCCAGCCUGAAUUACAAAGCAAGAGCCUGCCUCAAAGAAAAAACAAACCAAAAAACUAAAAGUGGUUAAGGCGGCAACUUUAUGUAAUCUGAAUUUUAGCCACAAUUUAAAAAGAAAAUGAGC
ensembl:lncRNA